AGCUACCCUUCCUGGAUAACUAUUUUAGUACCUGUUUUUAUUUACUAAUGAGAACUAAAUAAAUUGGCUACUGUCAUGUUUCUCCCUUAAAAAAAGAUUCUGCUAGAUGUGCUUGACAAUAAUAAUGGUAAUACCUAAAGGUGUUCUCUUGCUCCAAGUUAGCGCCUAUAUAUUCUUAGCUACCAUGUACUUGGGUUACUGGUUUGUGUUAAGGAUUCCGCUACUGUUGCCAAGGUAUCUACAGAAUUUUGUUAUAGUACUAGCUGAACAGAAAAAGAGAUGGCCGCCAAACCUCAAAAAAUAUCAAUCGGCUAUUAAUUUACUAGACUCUAUUUCAGUCUAAUUAGUGGAGACUUAGAGAGUGGAAAAAAUGUUUAAAAAACCUAAUAUAAAAAUAUGAAAUAUUUAGUUAUUCUCUAUAUCCGAGAAAGCAAUAAAGAACUUUGUGUUAGGCAGUGCACUGCGGGAGCGUGUACUGCGACUAUUUCUGCACUGCCGAUGAAGGCUUGAUCUUUCCCACAGGUCCACCUUCUUUACCUUUCCGUUCUUUGAACUGGAUAAGUUCUGAUAUUCUAACAUUGAUGGAAAAUCAUUAUCUUCUGUAAAGCCACAUUUCAUUUUAUGAUUUUUAGCAGAAGCUCGCUUCGAGGUCUUGGUGUGGGGCUGCUGGGGAAGGGAAUGUCCUUCUACUUAGUGAAAGUCGUUGUUGCUGAGGCUGAUUUUACCUUCUUUCUAAGUGUUCUAUUUUAUUAGUGCAAUUGGUUCGAGUUAAACUAACAUCCAUCGUACAAAUAUUUGUGGGACAUAUUCAGGUAAAUUUACCAUGUUCUGUUUUCAUUACCCAGCGCUAAAAUGUAGAUGUUAUGAUGACCAAUGACCAUAAACUUUUCUCAAGAAAUCUGGAAAGAAGCGAGGAUUCUCAAGUAAGAUAAGUCUGCUUACAAAAAUUUGCCUACUGGAAAGUAGAUAAGAGACUCAUGAAGUAAGAAUACAUGCCUACAUAUUAUACAUAGCAGGCUUCUGACUUCUCUGAUUCUGCAAGCCUUGAGGCUGUGAAACAUCUAUGCUAGGUCGCCACACUUCUGCCACCUUCAUUUGAUGAGGUUCAGCAUUCACUACUAUGAAAGAAGAAGGCAUAUAUUUUCCUUGUGGAAUUUCCAGUAGAAUGGCAGUGAGAACGAGUAAAAAUCUACAACAGUAUGACUGUAUGGUUCUCACUCAAAGUAGAGGCCCAACAAACUUUUUUGAAGUAGGAGUCGAAAACUACAAAUCCAUCUAUUCCUAGAAUGGAGCUGGUUGGACUUGAGCCUACAAUUGAGCGGGUAGUUCGGUGGCACCGACAUCCAGCUGAAAGUUUUAUAGGAGGGUUAGUAAAGCAAAUUUGUUCAUGAGGAAAUGUGCCAGCAAAACAUUGAGUCAGAGUGCAAGACAAAUGCUCUUAACAGUUUUUUUGGUCACUUUUCUUUAAUUACAAUUCUUAUUAUUUUUAGUUGGCAUUGAUGUACAAAAGAAAAUCCUGUGCCUUUUUUUUCUCUCAUUGACCAUUGUAUUUUUGAGUCAUAUCAGUCUAUGUAAAAGAAUUCAGUACCUUAUGUUUUGUAUAUUUGGAAAUGUCUA